AGUGAACGCUGGCGGUAGGCCUAACACAUGCCAGUCGAACGGCAGCACAGUAAGAGCUUGCUCUUACGGGUGGCGAGUGGCGGACGGGUGAGGAAUACAUCGGAAUCUACUUUUUCGUGGGGGAUAACGUAGGGAAACUUACGCUAAUACCGCAUACGACCUACGGGUGAAAGCAGGGGAUCUUCGGACCUUGCGCGAUUGAAUGAGCCGAUGUCGGAUUAGCUAGUUGGCGGGGUAAAGGCCCACCAAGGCGACGAUCCGUAGCUGGUCUGAGAGGAUGAUCAGCCACACUGGAACUGAGACACGGUCCAGACUCCUACGGGAGGCAGCAGUGGGGAAUAUUGGACAAUGGGCGAAAGACUGAUCCAGCCAUACCGCGUGGGUGAAGAAGGCCUUCGGGUUGUAAAGCCCUUUUGUUGGGAAAGAAAAGCAGCAGGUUAAUACCCCGCUGUUCUGACGGUACCCAAAGAAUAAGCACCGGCUAACUUCGUG
rnacentral:rRNA from 1 species